CCUACGGGGCGCAGCAGUCGAGAAUCAUUCACAAUGGGGGAAACCCUGAUGGUGCGACGCCGCGUGGGGGAAUGAAGGUCUUCGGAUUGUAAACCCCUGUCAUGUGGGAGCAAAUUAAAAAGAUAGUACCACAAGAGGAAGAGACGGCUAACUCUGUGCCAGCAGCCGCGGUAAUACAGAGGUCUCAAGCGUUGUUCGGAAUCACUGGGCGUAAAGCGUGCGUAGGCUGUUUCGUAAGUCGUGUGUGAAAGGCGCGGGCUCAACCCGCGGACGGCACAUGAUACUGCGAGACGAGAGGAAUGGAGGGGGAACCGGAAUUCUCGGUGUAGCAGUGAAAUGCGUAGAUAUCGAGAGGAACACUCGUGGCGAAGGCGGGUUCCUGGACAUUAACUGACGCUGAGGCACGAAGGCCAGGGGAGCGAAAGGGAUUAGAUACCCUUGUAGUC
rnacentral:rRNA from 1 species